rnacentral:rRNA from 1 species
CAAAUAGCGUAUAUUAAAGUUGUUGCAGUUAAAAAGCUCGUAGUUGAACUUCGGGGUUUACUCAUUGGUCAGGCUUAAUUGUCUGUACUGGUGAGAUGAAUCUCUACCUUCUGAGGAACUUUCAUGCCAUUUAUUUGGUGUGGUUGGAAAUCAGGACUGUUACUUUGAAAAAAUUAGAGUGUUUAAAGCAGGCUAACGUCUGAAUACAUUAGCAUGGAAUAAUGAAAUAGGACGGAUUGAUUCUAUUUCGUUGGUUUCUAGGGUCACCGUAAUGAUUAAUAGGGAUAGUUGGGGGCAUUAGUAUUCAAUUGUCAGAGGUGAAAUUCUUGGAUUUAUUGAAGACUAACUACUGCGAAAGCAUUUGCCAAGGAUGUUUUCAUUAAUCAAGAACGAAAGUUAGGGGAUCGAAGACGAUCAGAUACCGUCGUAGUCUUAACCAUAAACUAUGCCGACUAGGGAUCGGACGCAGUUAAUUUUAUAAUGACGUGUUCGGCACCUUACG